rnacentral:lncRNA from 1 species
AAGAAGAAGAAAAAAAGAUUGAGGCCAGUAUUUUCAGCUUGACCAAUAGCAGGGUACUGUUUUCCUCGAUCGACCAUGAGCUCAAAGGCUAAGUGAAACUUCUUGACAUGACUGCUUUUAUCACAUUCACAUCUUAGAAAAGUGAAAGUUUUGUUUGCACUAGAAGCCACUGGUGGAACGUAGAUUUACAUCCUCGAGGAAGAAAGAGGGCAACUUUGUGAGGGCUUGUUAGUUACUCUAUGUCUCUUUCUUUCCACAGUCUGUAGUCUUGACAGGCAGCUUUCACAGUUCCUGUAAAACUGAAAAGUUGCCUCCGAUGGUAACCCACUUGGCUGGAGUUUGCAAACAUCUUGGGGUGGUAUCAUUAGCAAAAUUGUUGCUCCUGUGUGAUGAUCUGAGACAGGAGACAACUGCUUAGUAUAGGGCUCACAGUAGGUCAUUUAAACCAGAGUUUUGUCUCUGGCGAAUUGUGAUAGAGGGCGGCCCAAUUUGCACCUUGAUUGCAAAAUUGUUCCAGAACAGGCCAGAGAGGCCAACUGCUUAAUCUGUGCUGGUGGCAGGGAUGCUCACUGUUUGCAGAGCCGUAAGCUUCUCUGUUGCUUGGCCAGUGAUUUCUCCACAGAUAAGGUAAGUCGAGGACACCUGCUCUGCGUGUCACAGAGGUGAUGUCUGCAGAAGGCUCCGCAUGUUAGGGGAAAGGACACCAAAGGAGUUGGUGUCAGCAAGGUAAUGGUAGGUCUUGGCGAUGUAUUUCCUUAGUGAACCUGCUGGACAGUCAGCAUUGCCCUGCGGGCUACGAGGAAGAGCUUGGUCCAUUUCCAUCGUGUUUCAGCACCCCCCCUCCCCCCGCCACCAGCAAGUCUCCGUCUCUUAUUCCCGGGAGUGUGUAGAUAUUUUAGCAAACUCCCAGAGAGUCUGUGAUGUCUCUUUAGGAAUUCUAGUAGUAAGUUGUGAACCUACUGUGUGCCCAAAACAAACUAGUUGAGAUACUUGUUUCCCAAGAAGUCCUCUGUGGACCCAGAUUAAGAAAACUGAGGGAUGUUUUUAGACUGUUUGACCUUGACCUCACCCCAGUCACGUUUACCCAGAGACUGUGGAGGACACCAACUCCACGUGCCCUUUCUAGGCUGAUUGGUAAACUAGUGAAGGAGGAGAGGAGAGGGCAAGGCUGUCGUUGAGGGCCCACGGUGGCAUGCUGGAGCCCAUGGCUAAAUUCGUAGGAAUUCUGGGAGCUGAUUUCAGAUACCACCAUUCUUACAAUUAAAUUAGGUUAAACUUCAUACUAAAUAAGUUACAUUAGAAAACAAAGGUAGUACAUAACUCAAAACGCAUCAUGUCCUCAGGAACUACAUCUGGCUGUCUGCUCUUGAGGUUUUGGUGCUGGCUGUGUCUCACGGUGGGUAUGCUGCCACUGCUGGUGCUGAAGCUGAGAAGUGUCGGUGUAAUAAACACAGUUUGAAAGAGGAUGGCUUCACAGUAAAUCACAUCAGUUAAAUUUAUUGAGAAGAGAGUCAGUGGGUUGGGAUGCAAGUCCAUUUGUCACACCCCAGCUAAACUGCCACCACCACCAGAUGUUGGCGCCAGAUAAAAGAGUUUGGCAAAAAUCAAUUCACCCAAUAAGAGUUUCCAAUAAAGGCUGUGGUGUAUUAUAUUUGUAGAUUGUAUGGUAUAUGCAUCUUUAUAUCAGCAAAUUCAUAAUGAACUUAUGUGUGAAUAUGCAGAUGUAUAUAGCUGCCCCCUAGAGCAGGUUAGAUAUUUACCAGGACACUACUGACUGCGGCAUGUGACAAAGGGGGAAGGGACUGGCAGUUUGGAUGACAGAGAAGAACCGGUGGGAUGGCAGUAAGGGAGUGAGAGAGCAGGAAGUUGUGUUAAGGUCCAGGGUGUGGUCACACCUGCCGUGAUUGACAGGCAGUGAGGAUGGGGCCCUAGAGUGAAAGAGGUCAGGGGAGGAGGAAGCCUGAAGAACAAAUGGGACGCGCACUUAGACUUCAGAGCCAACAAAAAGGACAGCAGGACCCAGGGUGGAGAGGAAGUGUCAAAUUCAAGUGCCCAACCCUUUAAUUUGGGGGAGGCGUCAGGUGGCAGGUAGACGUCAGUGACUAGGAAAGAUACGCAGGGCAGCAGUUGAACGCCCUAAGCAUCCACAGAGGUCUUUUCUGUGGGAAGGUUCGGGAGUUGGAAAGGAGAUAGAAGAGGGUGCUAGUUCUGCUUUGCGGGUCUUGUCGAGGUUUGUCAAAUGGAAAUAAUCACACCAACCCAACUGGAGUUACUGAGGCCAAUAAAGGGCUUAAGACCCUAUCACAGAGCCCGGCCUGAAACAGUGGUGACCAAGCAUUCUGGUUUGGCCAAGACAGGCUUGGGCUAAUUGUGCCCAGCACAGUUAUUAUGAGCCGCUCUUGUCACCCUGAAGUGUUGGGGUGGCUAAUUAUAUGCUCGUUCCAUCAGCAAAUGACUGUUUUCCAGUUCAUUACUUCCUAGAGCCCUCACUUCACAGUGGACAUACCAGGAGCCCCCAGGAAGAAGCAGUCUCUGGCUGGGGGUUUAUUCUCCAACAGGAAUGUUCUCCCACUGCCUGGAUAGAACAGGGUAGUCUAAGGCGGCCAGGGUCCUUCCCUCCACCCAUCCCAGGCACAGCCAACAGCCAUUCCCUUUUAUGCUUCCAGCCGUUCACAUUCUGGAAGACUUUGGAAUGCCUUUCUCCUCCUUUCCUCCUCAGCAAGGUACCACUCCAAGCCCCCUCCUGCCCUUCAAGCCUCCACCUGCCCCUCGGGUCAGCUGGCACUUGCACAGGUGGGCUAGGUGACUUUCAGGACCCCUUUCCCACGUGCAGGCAUGUGGCCAUGCUCAGGUCCGGUUCCAUAAUAAUAAUCCGAAAUAGGUCCUCCCAAGUGGCCCUAUAGCCACCGUUCUGAGAAAUUCCAAGCCAGGCCUGGGUGACUUGGGUCAUCACCAAGCUCCCAGUGAGCCGAAGGCAACUGGCCGGUGCCCUUGGCCACUGGGCAGAGCCAGAGGCAUUCCUCUUGGGUGAGCCAGUCUGAGCCUGCCAGCAUUCCAACAAAUUAAAGGCAGACCAAGGAGCCUAAGGUAUUUGGACAAGUCUGGAGCUGCUAUUCACUUUCUUCAACCAAGGAAAGUUCAGAGGCAGGAGAGGGGAUAUAAGCAGUGAUGAAAUGCCUCAAAGGGGUCGUUGGCUUUCCUUUGCCCAGUAUCCCUACAGACUACGGAAUCCCCGCCCCCCAACCACACAGCUCUUUUGUGGGCUCAGGCAGCUUUAAAAUCUCACCUUUAAAACUGCCAAUAACAAGACCGAGAUGAAAGUUUGGGAUGGAAAUGCUAUAAAAUUUGGUUAUGAUGAUUGAAUGUAAUAACAUUAAUUGUAUUAAAAAAACACAAGACUGAAAUGAGAUGCCAGUUAAUCUGCUUACCCUCCCCACUCCCACCGGAGGGUCGCAUGUCUAUAGAGACAGCUAGGUUGUGGCAAUCCUGGAACACUCCUGCCCUCUCUGACACAGCUGGUCACCCUGAGAUAGCUGUGGGUUUGUUCUCACGGGCCUUCCCCGAGAAAGACAUACACACUGUCACUUGUAAUUUUUGCCUGUGUCAUUGGGUUGUCGCCACGGCUCCUUUGCUGAACAGAAUUACAUAAAAUAGAUGGCUUUUGCGUUCUGGUUUUUAAAAUCAGAUUUUGAAAUUAAUUGGAAAUGUUCAAAUAUUUUUUUGAAAUCAAAUGUUAUUUUGAAAAGAAGGUACUUAUUCUCUUUGCCAUGGUAACACCUUUUUCCUACCUCACAUCACCACACCUACCAAAACAAUGACUUGAUAAAAAGAAGAUAUUUCCUGAAGUCAGGCAGUUCUGUUUAGAAAUACUUGUGAUAAAACUCACCCGGAAUAGAAAAUUUCAUUUAUUCUUAUGCAUGUAUCUUAUGAGAUCUCAACAGUUCUUAGAACCCUGUACUUUAAGGUUCCAGUUCCCUUUUAACUUUUUUUUUUUUCCUGUCUUAAUUGGUAUUCCAUUAAAAGCAUGAGUAAUUUUCAAAACCCUGGAUGGGGCUGGCUGGAAGCCUCUAACAGCUGUAUGGAAUCUCACAUAGCUAUCAUGUGCCCUUUUUUUUGGAAACAACAAUUGGCCUUGUCUUUUGUAAGAAAAUCACAUGAUUAAAAAAAUAGAUGGCUAGCAAGAAUUCUGUUGUCACUCGGUUACUGGCAGGAGCAGGAAUAGGGAGGGAGACGUAGAAAAAAUGCAUUCUUGGAUCCCUCAGCCACACCAAUCUGCAAACCCUCCUGGAGUAAAUACUGUCCUUUGUCAUUUCUAGGUAACUAAAAAAAGGCCUCGGAAUGUUUCCAGGGUUGGGCAUUCUGUUGUGUAAUACUUUGGGAGUCUGAGUUACCUUCAAAGAGUUGGCUCAAAACCCAGCCAUCGUCCCCCUGCUGGAUCUGAGUGUCAGAGACAUUGAUGUGAAUUGAAUGAAUGAGAGUUCAGUCUUUAUUAUGGACAACAAUAUUCCCUCUGGGGUUAGAAUUUCUUAAUGUUCUUGACAGCAAAAAGAAGUUUGCAUCAGCUUUGGAUCCCAAAGAUGCUAUUUUGACCUAAGCAUCUUGAGAUGAAGCCUGACUGUUUCAAAUGUCGCCACCUGGGAAGGGAGCCGCAGGCAUCCGCUAGAGGGUGAGGGGAAGGCCACCUGUCACCUUCUCAAUUCCGGAGGGUAACUGUCCCCACUGCAGAAUGUUUGAAAGGGGUAGGGCUUUGACCAGCACAAGGAAGGUAUUGGAAUUGAGUGUUUCUCUGAGAAGGGAGCCCAAGCUUUUUUCCAGGGCAGUUCUGAGACUUGUUGAAAAACUACAAGUGAGCAGGUUAUUGGGAAUGGUUUUUUUCUUUAAAAGGUUUUGUGAUCUUAGUAGCAUUUUGCAUGUGUAAUAUUUUCUGUUAAAGGAUACCUGGCAUGUUCCAAAGUUGUUUCCUCAGCCCCUCUUUGAGUUAAGAUGAGCAGAGCAAACUCACCAUGGCCCACAGACUAGGGAAGAAGCCCUCUGGACGAGGGGGUUUAGUUACUAGAAACCCCGAGGAAACUUGCUUGUGAGGUACAAAACAGUGUUUCUCAAGGUGUAAGCUACCAACUGUGGGCAACAGAAUAAUAGGGGAAGAUUUGCAAAAAUGCACAUUCCUGGGCUCCUCUCUAGACCUGUAGGUUCAGAAUCUGGGAUGGGGAGUGCAAUGGCUGAGAAAUCCACAUUUUAUCUAUUCCAGGUGAUUUUGGGAAUACUGAGAAUGGAGAACCACUACCAGUCUGUGGAGAUGCAGAAAAGUUUAUUGCCUUCCAUCCAUCCAUCCAUCCAUUCAUGCAUCAUCCAACCAUCCAACCAUCCAUUUAGCUAUUAGGGAUUUCCUGAGCACCACCUGUAUACUCAGCCUUCUGCAGAGCUGGGAUGCCCUGCGUGGUGCACAGGACAAGCCCAUUAUCUGUCCUUAUGAGGCUUUGGUCUCCUACCCUCUUCAGACAUGUGGUGAGGUUGACCAGAAAGAUGUCAUAAAGUAUUCUUUAGAAAUAGCCUACUUGGAUCAGAUAAAUAUUGGGCUGAUAACUGGCCCUGAAACCCUGAAAUUUCUGUCAUGCGUCAAAGGCUUUUACCUGCCUACCCUGCUGGACAUGCCAAGGAAACUAGUUGACCAGACUGGCCUGUCCUCUGGGCGCUAACAAAUCCAGGUCUGGCGGGGCCUUUUGCCAACACCAGGAUCCAUGCCUGAGUUGCCCUGUGGAGAAGCAUUAAAGCAGCCUCAGCCAACAGGCAGACCUGGAAACACAGCCGAUUUGAUCCCUAGCGACCAAAUGGCGCAGCUAAGUCCAUCCAGGUCUGAGGAAGGUAACCUAGUCUGUGGAGGGUCUGUUUUCCCUUGGAAAUGAAACUUUUUCUGAAAAUCUGCUUUUUUUUUAAUAGCUGCAGGACAGAAACAGCUCCUCUUGCAAGAUCUCUGAGGGAGCGUCCGCUGGACCCGGGUGUCCCAGCUGAGAUGAGUUUACCAUACCGAUCGCUUUGGUCCGGGCUGGGCAGACACCCCCUGCCCCCGCCCCAACCACCUCCUCGGGGCCACGCCUGCUGCAGCUCCAGGGCGGAGCAGGUCAGACACCCCAGGAUGAUAGCGCUUUGACACCUCAUUUGGGUGGUGUCCUCAGGCUGACAAGGAAAUGUUUUGGAUCACUGAAAGUCACAGUGGCUGCCUGGAUUUUUUUCUGUUUUGUUUAUAAAGUGUCCCCCAAAAUGGGACAUAAAUCUCUCUUG